AGAGGGAAGGCCGGGGUCUGCGCAGGCCGGUGGCGGAGGCAGUGCUGCGCGGCUGAGCUGCGCAGUGCACCAGCCUAGUCUGGGAGCGGCAGGAUCCGCUGUAGGCAAGUCCAGACUGGAUAGACUACGUCCGGGGGUCACCCGUCGCACCUUGGAGAUCCAUGUGGGGUCCAGAUGCCCGGUGAGCCCGUGGAUGUCACUUUUAUCCUGAUUUGGAGAACCUAUUGAGGAGAUUUUCUUGAGUAGCCUGUUGUGAAAUGAGGAGCCUAAUAGGAAAAGAUGUGGAUGUGGUCUUGCUGAAGCUAUUUAAUGUUAAGAAUGAAAAGAUCCUAUUAUUUUUUUUGUGGAGGAGGGUCAGAGGAAACAAUUGGAGGAGUAAAGAAAUGUGAUUAGUUUUGUGAUCCAGAUAUGAAUUCAUGGUGCUUAGAGAGCCUUCAUCUAUUCUGUGAAUAAGAAAUGAUGAAACAUAAGUAUAAAACAUGGCAGUCAGAUGGAUGGAAAAAGCUCUCAGGUACUCACUGACAUUUUAGAGUAUCUGAAUCACAUGACUGCUUACCUCCAGAUUUUUUCCAUGUGAAAAAAAAUAAACCUUUCUUUGUUUAAGUCACUA